rnacentral:sRNA from 1 species
AUGCUCCUUGCAGUGUUUAGUGUUGGCAGAUUACUGGACCCCGCCCUAGCGGUCCGGAUUAAACCCCGAACUUCUCCCUCCCCAUACGAAGCUCGGGGUUUUUUUUGCCUGCGA